AGUGAACGCUGGCGGUAGGCCUAACACAUGCAAGUCGAACGGCAGCACAGUAAGAGCUUGCUCUUACGGGUGGCGAGUGGCGGACGGGUGAGGAAUACAUCGGAAUCUACUUUUUCGUGGGGGAUAACGUAGGGAAACUUACGCUAAUACCGCAUACGACCUACGGGUGAAAGCAGGGGAUCUUCGGACCUUGCGCGAUUGAAUGAGCCGAUGUCGGAUUAGCUAGUUGGCGGGGUAAAGGCCCACCAAGGCGACGAUCCGUAGCUGGUCUGAGAGGAUGAUCAGCCACACUGGAACUGAGACACGGUCCAGACUCCUACGGGAGGCAGCAGUGGGGAAUAUUGGACAAAGGGCGCAAGCCUGAUCCAGCCAUACCGCGUGGGUAAAGAAGGCCUUCGGGUUGUAAAGCCCUUUUGUUGGGAAAGAAAAGCAGCAGGUUAAUACCCCGCUGUUCUGACGGUACCCAAAGAAUAAGCACCGGCUAACUUCGUG
rnacentral:rRNA from 1 species